rnacentral:rRNA from 1 species
UACGAGUGCUCCAAGCGUUAUCCGGAAUUAUUGGGCGUAAAGGGUGUGUAGGUGGUUGUGUUAGUCUUUUGUCAAAGCCUUCGGCUUAACCGAAGAUCUGCAAAAGAAACGGCACGACUAGAGGAUGCGAGAGGUGAAUGGAACUCAUGGAGUAGGGGUGAAAUCCGUUGAUAUCAUGGGGAACACCAAAUGCGAAGGCAAUUCACUGGCGCACUCCUGACACUGAGACACGAAAGCGUAGGUAGCGAAUGGG